AGCGCCGUAGCUCAGUGGGAGAGUGGGGGGCUCAUAACCCCCAGGUCCAUGGAUCGAAACCAUGCGGUGCUA
rnacentral:tRNA from 1 species